GCAUCGGUGAUUCAGUGGUAGAAUUUUCGCCUGUCACGCGGGUGACCCGGGUUCGAUUCCCGGCCGAUGCA
rnacentral:tRNA from 1 species